rnacentral:rRNA from 1 species
GAUGAACGCUGACAGAAUGCUUAACACAUGCAAGUCUUUGGCGAAGCUGUGCUUGCACAGCCUAGCCAAGGCGGACGGGUGAGUAACGCGUAAGGAACUUGCCCUGCAGUCAGGGAUAACAGACGGAAACGACUGAUAAGACCUGGUAAAGUCAGGCGGACUCAUGUCCAGCCUGAUGAAAAGAGAUGCUGCAGGAGAGCCUUGCGUCCUAUUAGCUUGUUGGUGGGGUAACGGCCCACCAAGGCGAUGAUAGGUAGCCGGCCUGAGAGGGUGGACGGCCACAAGGGGACUGAGAUACGGCCCUUACUCCUACGGGAGGCAGCAGUGGGAAUAUUGGACAAUGGGGGCAACCCUGAUCCAGCAAUUCUGUGUGCACGAUGAAGGUUUUCGGAUUGUAAAGUGCUUUCAGCAGGGAAGAAAAAAAUGACGGUACCUGCAGAAGAAGCGACGGCUAAAUACGUG